rnacentral:lncRNA from 1 species
GCGCACUGCAGAGGAGGACGUGAGGGUGGAGAGAGCUGGAAAGGGAAAGGUGUUCACUGAGGCAAAGAAACAGAGAGGUGGGCAGCAGAGGCCCAUGGUGAAGACGGCCCAGGACUUGGAGAGAGCAAAUUCUUGAUGGAGAUCGGAAGAGGGAAGCCAAAGAAGAGACAGGAAAGGGAGAAAUGGGGCCAUGGGGAAGAAAGGGGCUGCGAUCCAAGAAGCAGGACACACCCUGUGCUGGGUAGAGCUGGGCCCCAGGAGCCAGAUCAGAUGCCCCAUCAGGGCCCGAAGGAUAAGGAAAAUUCCCAGCCUGGAGUUCAACCCCUCACUCUGGAACUUAUGAAUUCAGUAAAUACUUAUUGACUGACUCAACAAAAAGACAGAAGGAUAGCACGUCUGAGGCCCUUCGGUUCCCUGCUUAAAACAGGUUUGCUGUGUUGGCUUUUCAGACUGGCUUACCCGCAGCCUGGCCGACCUACUUGUCUGUUCUCCCUUCUUCCCAACAUGUGGGGUAUUUUUUCAGUUAAACUGGGCAAGUAACAGUGCCCUGAUACUCCCUAAACUUGCUUGUCUCCAUGUUUUUUUCCAGACCAGCUCCUUCCUCCUUGAUUCCCCUCUUCCUCAAUGCCCUUCAUUUACCACCAGUUAAAAUCCUACCCCUCCUUUAAGACCCAUGCGCUUCCUUCAUGAAGGCUGCCCAGAUUUCCUGUGGGAGUGGGUUCACUUUUUUCCCUUUAAAUCUCCACCAGCACUUGGAGUGUCCCUGGAAGCCUAUAACCUGAUUUAUCCCCAUCCUACAUUGUAAGCACCAAAAGGGCAGGGAUUGUAUCCCCUUCAUUUUUGUACCCCUUCCUCGCAUCCCCUACACGGAGCUUCG